rnacentral:rRNA from 1 species
GGACGAACGCUGGCGGCGUGCCUAACACAUGCAAGUCGAGCGGUGCAGCAAUGCAUAGCGGCGAACGGGUGAGUAACGCGUAAGCAAUCUGCCCCCUGUUCGGGAAUAGCCGUGCCAACGCGCGGGUAAUACCGGAUAUCGUGGCUCUCCACAUGGAGGGUUGACAAAAGAUUUAUCGACAGGGGAUGAGCUUGCGUCCGAUUAGCUAGUUGGCGGGGCAACGGCCCACCAAGGCGACGAUCGGUAGCCGGCCUGAGAGGGUAAUCGGCCACAUUGGGACUGAGAUACGGCCCAGACUCCUACGGGAGGCAGCAGUAGGGAAUAUUGCACAAUGGGGGAAACCCUGAUGCAGCAACGCCACGUGUGGGAAGAAGCAUUUCGGUGUGUAAACCACUGUCGUGAGGGAAUAAGGCUGAGUUUCGGCUCAGUUGAAUGUACCUCGAGAGGAAGCACCGGCAAACUUCGUGCCAGCCGCCGC